UACAGAGGUCUCAAGCGUUGUUCGGAUUCAUUGGGCGUAAAGGGUGCGUAGGUGGCGCGGUAAGCGUGCGGUGAAAGCCUGGGGCUCAACCCCGGGUCGGCCGUGCGAACUGCUGGGCUUGAGCACUGUAGAGGCAGGCGGAAUUCCGGGUGUAGCGGUGGAAUGCGUAGAGAUCCGGAAGAACACCGGUGGCGAAGGCGGCCUGCUGGGCAGUUGCUGACACUGAGGCGCGACAGCGUGGGGAGCAAACAGG
rnacentral:rRNA from 1 species